rnacentral:misc_RNA from 1 species
AAGUCGUAACAAGGUUUCCGUAGGUGAACCUGCGGAAGGAUCAUUAUUGAAUAAACGUGGUUGGGUUGUUGCUGGCUUCUAGGAGCAUGUACACGCUCACUCCAUUUUUAACCACCUGUGCACCUUGUGUAGAUCUGAACAAAUCUCGGGGAAACUCGGUCAGAGAAUUGCUGUGUGUUUAAAAGCCAGCUUUUCUUGGGUUCAGAUCUAUGUCUCUAUAUACACCAUAUGAAUGUAUUCGAAUGUAAUUGAUGGGCGUUACAGCCUCUAAAAUCAAAUACAACUUUCAACAACGGAUCUCUUGGCUCUC